GAUGAACGCUGGCGGCGUGCCUAAUACAUGCAAGUCGAACGAAGAUCUAGCUUGCUAGAUCUUAGUGGCGAACGGGUGAGUAAUACAUAAAUAAUCUGCCCAUAUGACUGGGAUAACUAUUGGAAACGAUAGCUAAUACCGGAUAGGUUGAUCGGAGGCAUCUCUGAUGAAUUAAAGUAGGAUUUCUACACAAAUGGAUGAGUUUAUGGCGCAUUAGUUAGUUGGUGGGGUAACGGCCUACCAAGACGAUGAUGCGUAGCCGACCUGAGAGGGUGACCGGCCACACUGGAACUGAGACACGGCCCAGACUCCUACGGGAGGCAGCAGUAGGGAAUGUUCGGCAAUGGGCGCAAGCCUGACCGAGCAACGCCGCGUGAGUGAUUAAGGCCUUCGGGUUGUAAAGCUCUGUUGUAAGGGAAGAACAUUCAGGAUAGGAAAUGAUCUUGAACUGACGGUACCUUACCAGAAAGCCACGGCUAACUACGUGCCAGCAGCCGCGGUAA
rnacentral:rRNA from 1 species